AAAAGUAAAGAAAAAACAAAAGGUUUCUUUUUCCUUAAAAGAAAGAAUCAAAUGAAUACUUUGGAACCUCUAUAAAGUUGCUACAGGGAAACCGUGCAAACAUCUACACCAGUGGCCAGCCUUGUUCUUCCACAGUUCUUCGUGCUUAUUUUUAUUUAUUUAUUUAUUUAAUGUUUCAGGGAACAUAACACAACUGGAUCUAAGCUUAAGCAAACACGUGACGAGGGAACAAGUAAAUAGGCAGACAAAAUCAUUACUGGAGUAGGAGGCUGUGGACAUCUGAAGAAAUACCACAGAGGAAGCCUACACUGCCAUCUUUUCUCAUUUUGUCUGACAGGAUCUAUAUCAAUUCCUUUUUUUCCCCUCCUUAAUUCUAUUAUUUUUAACUACAUAAAACAUUUUGUUACAGGAAAACCAGAAAACCCAGAAGAAAAUGAAAAUCAUUCACAUUCCUCCUUUCAGAGAAGGCUAUAACUAUUACAUUUUCAUUGCUUUUUUCCCAUCAACUUUCACA
rnacentral:lncRNA from 1 species